CCGACAAAUUGACAGAGAAGGGAAACCCCGUAAGGUGGUUGGUUGCAGUUGUGUAGUAGUUAAGGACUAUGGCAAAGAAUCUCAGGCCAAGGAUGUCAUCGAAGAGUACUUCAAAUGCAAGAAGUGAACAAAUAAAAACUUUGGCUCAUGUUUCUUA